UGUUCAAUAUUAUUUAACUUUAAGAAUUCAUUUAUGUUUUAACAGUGUCUGAACAAGUUUUAUCGAUACAUUCUGGUGCAACCGGCCCUUUAAGAGCAUUCAGGAAGUCGAUUUGGCCCAAAACGAAAAUGACUUUGACACCUUUGACUUACAACAAGACAGUUUCUCCAUAAGUAGUUCUUUUCCUUUAAUAUUACAAGCUACUUGUAAGCUAGUUCUGUCUCAUUUCCAGUGUACUCAGAUAUUUUCACUGAAGCAAAACU